rnacentral:sRNA from 1 species
AAGAUCCCGUGAGUUUGGUUGGAUACUCUCACUGUAUCGGGCACCCAGAGAGCAGAGGUAAGUGGUAGACUUUAUUUUUAGAUGAAAUUUUCACUUUAUAGAAAUAUUGUGUUGUACCGCGUUGUUGAAUUGGAGGGAAAUUGGGAACGGAAGGUUACUCUGAAGCAUGCAAUCGUGGGUUGACGGCAAUAGAGCAAGUUUUAAUGUACUGUUAGGUGUGAGGUGAGGUCCAAAUGAUAGACAGACGAUAGAUAUGGAUUAGAUCUCCAUGAUGGCACACUUUCCUGAAAUCGUACUGUACUUGGGGGUUAUUUUUUUCCAGCUGCUAUUAACUCGCUUCUCAGGUUUUCCAAAAAAUAAAAAACUUAAUAUCAUUAAAGGCAGC